rnacentral:rRNA from 1 species
AGUGAACGCUGGCGGUAGGCCUAACACAUGCAAGUCGAACGGCAGCACAGUAAGAGCUUGCUCUUACGGGUGGCGAGUGGCGGACGGGUGAGGAAUACAUCGGAAUCUACUUUUUCGUGGGGGAUAACGUAGGGAAACUUACGCUAAUACCGCAUACGACCUACGGGUGAAAGCAGGGGAUCUUCGGACCUUGCGCGAUUGAAUGAGCCGAUGUCGGAUUAGCUAGUUGGCGGGGUAAAGGCCCACCAAGGCGACGAUCCGUAGCUGGUCUGAGAGGAUGAUCAGCCACACUGGAACUGAGACACGGUCCAGACUCCUACGGGAGGCAGCAGUGGGGAAUAUUGGACAAUGGGCGCAAGCCUGAUCUAGCCAUACCGCGUGGGUGAAGAAGGCCUUCGGGUUGUAAAGCCCUUUUGUUGGGAAAGAAAAGCAGCAGGUUAAUACCCCGCUGUUCUGACGGGACCCAAAGAAUAAGCACCGGCGAACUUCGU